rfam:Podiceps cristatus contig110374, whole genome shotgun sequence.
AACCCAGGCGAUCUAUCCAUGAGCAGGUUGAAGGUUGGGUAACACUAACUGGAGGACCGAACCCACUGUCGUUGAAAAGCCAGGGGAGGGGAUGACGAUAGGGAUGAAAGGCUAAUCAAGCCUGGUGAUAGCUGGUUCUCCCCGAAAGCUAUUUAGGUAGCGCCUCGGACGAAUACCAUAGGGGGUAGAGCACUGUUUCGGCUAGGGGGUCAUCCCGACUUACCAAACCGAUGCAAACUCCGAAUACCUAUGAGUACUAUCCGGGAGACAGACUGCGGGUGCUAACGUCCGUAGUCAAGAGGAAAACAAUCCAGACCGCCAGCUAAGGCCCCAAAAUCAUAGUUAAGUGGGAAACGAUGUGGGAAGGCAUAGACAGCUAGGAGGUUGGCUUAGAAGCAGCCACCCUUUAAAGAAAGCGUAAUAGCUCACUAGUCGAGUCGGCCUGCGCGGAAGAUGUAACGGGGCUAAAACUAUGUGCCGAAGCUGCGGAUUUGACAUUAGUCAAGUGGUAGGGGAGCGUUCUGUAAGCCGAUGAAGGUGUAUUGAGAAGUAUGCUGGAGGUAUCAGAAGUGCGAAUGCUGACGUGAGUAACGACAAAACGGGUGAAAAACCCGUUCGCCGAAAGACCAAGGGUUCCAGUCCAACGUUAAUCGGGGCUGGGUGAGUCGACCCCUAAGGCGAGGCCGAAAGGCGUAGUCGAUGGGAAAUUGGUUAAUAUUCCAAUACUUCUGUGUAAUGCGAUGAGAGGACGGAGAAGGUUAAGUCAGCCUGGCGUUGGUUGUCCAGGUGGAAGGAUGUAGGUAUGUAUCUUAGGCAAAUCCGGGGUACUCUAUACUGAGAUCCGAUAGCAAGCUGUACUUGUACAGUGAAGUGGCUGAUACCAUGCUUCCAGGAAAAGUCUCUAAGCUUCAGUUACACAGGAAUCGUACCCGAAACCGACACAGGUGGUCAGGUCGAGUAGACCAAGGCGCUUGAGAGAACUCUGCUGAAGGAACUAGGCAAAAGGGUACCGUAACUUCGGGAGAAGGUACGCUGUUGUUGGUGAUGGAACUUGCUUCCUGAGCUGACGACAGCCGCAGAAAACAGGCCGCUGCAACUGUUUAUUAAAAACAUAGCACUCUGCAAACACGAAAGUGGACGUAUAGGGUGUGAUGCCUGCCCGGUGCUGGAAGGUUAAUUGAUGGGGUUAGCGUAAGCGAAGCUCUUGAUCGAAGCCCCAGUAAACGGCGGCCGUAACUAUAACGGUCCUAAGGUAGCGAAAUUCCUUGUCGGGUAAGUUCCGUCCCGCUUGAAUGGUGUAACCAGCUCUUGACUGUCUCGACUGUAGACUCGGUGAAAUCCUGGUGAGAGUGAAGACACUCUCUUGCCGCUAUGGGACGGAAAGACCCUAUGAAGCUUUACUGUAACUUUGACACUGAACUUUGACCUUACUUGUGUAGGAUAGGUGGGAGGCUUUGAAGUUGGAACGCUAGUUCCAAUGGAGCCGUCCUUGAAAUACCACCCUGGUAAUGUUGAGGUUCUAACUCUGUCCCGUUAUCCGGGACGAGGACCGUGUCUGGUGGGUAGUUUGACUGGGGCGGUCUCCUCCUAAAGAGUAACGGAGGAGUACGAAGGUGCGCUCAGCGUGGUCGGAAAUCACGCGUAGAGUAUAAAGGCAAAAGCGCGCUUAACUGCGAGACCCACAAGUCGAGCAGGUACGAAAGUAGGUCUUAGUGAUCCGGUGGUUCUGUAUGGAAGGGCCAUCGCUCAACGGAUAAAAGGUACUCUGGGGAUAACAGGCUGAUACCGCCCAAGAGUUCAUAUCGACGGCGGUGUUUGGCACCUCGAUGUCGGCUCAUCUCAUCCUGGGGCUGAAGCAGGUCCCAAGGGUAUGGCUGUUCGCCAUUUAAAGAGGUACGCGAGCUGGGUUUAGAACGUCGUGAGACAGUUCGGUCCCUAUCUACCGUGGGCGCUGGAAAUUUGAGAGGAUCUGCUCCUAGUACGAGAGGACCAGAGUGGACGAACCUCUGGUGUACCGGUUGUGACGCCAGUCGCAUCGCCGGGUAGCUAUGUUCGGAAGGGAUAACCGCUGAAAGCAUCUAAGCGGGAAGCCUACCUCAAGAUAAGAUUUCCCUAGGAAUUUAUUCCUCUAAAGAGCCGUUCGAGACUAGGACGUUGAUAGGUUGGAUGUGGAAGCAUAGUGAUA